rnacentral:rRNA from 1 species
GAACGAACGCUGGCGGCAUGCCUAACACAUGCAAGUCGAACGAAGGCUUCGGCCUUAGUGGCGCACGGGUGCGUAACGCGUGGGAAUCUGCCCUUGGGUUCGGAAUAACAGUGAGAAAUUACUGCUAAUACCGGAUGAUGACUUCGGUCCAAAGAUUUAUCGCCCAAGGAUGAGCCCGCGUAAGAUUAGCUAGUUGGUGAGGUAAAGGCUCACCAAGGCGACGAUCUUUAGCUGGUCUGAGAGGAUGAUCAGCCACACUGGGACUGAGACACGGCCCAGACUCCUACGGGAGGCAGCAGUGGGGAAUAUUGGACAAUGGGCGAAAGCCUGAUCCAGCAAUGCCGCGUGAGUGAUGAAGGCCUUAGGGUUGUAAAGCUCUUUUACCAGGGAUGAUAAUGACAGUACCUGGAGAAUAAGCUCCGGCUAACUCCGUGCCAGCAGCCGCGGUAAUACGGAGGGAGCUAGCGUUGUUCGGAAUUACUGGGCGUAAAGCGCACGUAGGCGGCCAUUCAAGUCAGAGGUGAAAGCCCGGGGCUCAACCCCGGAACUGCCUUUGAAACUAGAUGGCUUGAAUCUUGGAGAGGCGAGUGGAAUUCCGAGUGUAGAGGUGAAAUUCGUAGAUAUUCGGAAGAACACCAGUGGCGAAGCGACUCGCUGGACAAGUAUUGACGCUGAGGUGCGAAAGCGUGGGGAUCAAACAUACUCUGAUACUCUCAUAGUCCUCUCCGUAAUUGAAGAUAUCUAGCUGUCCAGGCUCAUGGAACUUGGAUGGCGCAGCUAUCGCAUCAAGUUAUCAGCGUCGCGAGUACGGUCGCAAGAUUCAAAAUCAAAGGAAUUGACGGGGUCCUGCACAAGCGGUGGAGCAUGUGGCUUAAUUCGAAGCAACGCGCAGAACCUUACCAGCGUUUGACUCAUCUAGUAUGUUUCCCAGAGACGGGUUACUUCAGUUCGUCAGGCUAGAACACAGGUGGGACAUGGCUGUCGUCAGCUGUUGUCGUGUGAUGUUGGGUUAAGUCCCGCAACGAGCGCAACCCUUGUCAGUAGUUGCCAUCAUGAUCAUGGGCACUGUAAAGAAACCGCCGGUGAUAAGCCGGAGGAAGGUGGGGAUGACGUCAAGUCCUCAUGGCCCUUACAAUCCUGGGCUACACACUUGCUGCAAUGGCGUCGUCAUUGAGCAGCUACAUCGAGAGAUCAUGGUAAUUUCAAAAACCAGUGUCGGUUCGCAUGGUUUUCGCCAACUUGAGAGCAUGAAGGCGGAAUCGUUAGUAAUCGCGGAUCAGCAUGCCACGGCGAAUACGUUCCCAGGCCUC